rnacentral:tRNA from 1 species
UCCCUUGUGGCUCCGCUGGUAAAGUAUCUGCCUGCAAUGCAGGAGACCUGGGUUCAAUCCCUGGAUUGGGAA